AUGAUUCAGCAGAACAAUAACAACAACUACCCAUGCCUGGAGAUGUCUUGCUCCCCCAGGGAGGUGCUGCAGAAGUGCCAAAGAAGCGAUCUUCACUUCACAGGACGCUUGGAGCUUGGGGACAUGCCCUUAGUCAAGGGCCUUCGGGCCUGGGCUGCGUGCUCCAAGAACCGCGGGAGGGCAGCACCUCCCCCCAGGUCCCAAGAAACUUGCCCCAGGCCUACAGAUGGCUACCCAGUGGGACAGUGGGGCAGGCUGGGUUAUGGUCUGGGGCUACCGCUGGACUCCAACUAUGCCUCCAACCCCAGACAGACAGGCCUGGGGGCACUGGUGACUGUGGCAACAUUGAAGGCCUCUGAGGGAGGUGGUCAGACUCAGACAAGCUGUCUGUUCCUCAAGACGGAGGGUGGAAGGUGCCUCUACUCCACGGGCAGCCCAAGGCCCUGCACUCAAGGUCUAGCUCCUCAGUCCCCCUCCACGCUGGUGGGCAGCUGGCUGAGGGAUAAAGUGGGAGGGGUCAGGGACUCUUCCACAGUUGGGAAAAUGGGGGUGUGGGAUAUGGGAGGGGCCUCAGCGUUGUACCAGGUCAAAUCUAGGUCAGCCCGGAGGUGGAGGACGUCCUGCAAGCCUGUGGUUCCCAUCCAGGGGAGAGCACUCCAGAGCACGGAGGACUCUGGUGAGAGCACCCUGGAAGGGAGCCAGGAAAGCAGGGACAAAGGGGAGUUUCCCACAACUGGCCAGGACACUCUGAGUGGAAAACAAGACCGAGGGAGUACUAGAAGCCCCAAAUGCAGUCACGCUCAGACCAAGACCUGCACCCAGUGUCACGGGCGGAGAGGAGGACAGGAGAGCAGCGGGGGUCAGAGGGAAACUGCUUCUGUAUGUGAGCAGGAUCAGUCGAGCGGCGGUGUGGAGGGGAUUAAGGAGAAAGUCCAGGACAGGACUGGUCUCACCCGGUCAAAGCCCUGUGACUCCUCCCUGCCUCCAGACAACGCUGACCCAGAAAACUGCAGCAGUGACGUCGGGGACCAGGGAAAGCCAGACAGCCCACACGCACAGGAGGGGCUGCAUCCUGAAAACUCCCUCGACAAGGAGCACUUCCAGGACAAACUAUGCGAUACAGACAUCCAUACUGGAGGCAAGGAUGUGGCCAGUGGUGUCAUGAGACAUGUGGAAGACUUUGAUGGCUUGGUGGGUGCUGUGAUUGGGUUUGUGGAUCAUAUCAAGUCCACAAAGUGUGAUUCUGAGAGUCUAGGGGGGAAUGGGGGGAUAGCUGAGGGGGAGCUGCCCAAGAGGUGGAUCGAUGUUCAAACUUCAGAGAGACACUGCUGCUCUGAGAGAGGCUGCCUCAAAGACUGCUCCACUCAACCACCCAGACCAGCAGGGGGCAGCAUUUCAACUGCUACUGAUGAGACUGCCUAUGGUCAGAUAAAUCAGGAAAGUAAAUCAGAUAGUCAAUACAAUAAGCUUUGUGUGAAAUGUCUGCCAGAAGAAAAAUAUCCUGUGGCAGUGGAUAAAGAAGUAUUCCAUAAAUCUGUGCAUGGCCUCUGUGAGGGAGAGGAGGGAAUCCAGUCAACAGCAUCAGAAAUUAGGGAACUCUGUGGGGAGCAUGGAGAGAUACUGCCUGAGGUCAGGAGCACAGACAAUGAGACCAGGCUGGUAGGGGGAGACCUCACAUCCCAGAGAACUGAGCGAGGGCCUCGCUGGGCAACGGAGGAGCAUGAGUCCGAGCUCACAUGUAGAGAGGUGUUUACGGUGCUCACGGAAGAGAGGUGUUUUUCAGAUUUAUCAGCUACCCUGACUGAGGAGGCCGUAGGAGGGUGGAGGGAGGCAGGGGCUGGGCAGUUUAAUUCCCUUUUACGAGCCUCUGCUGCUGCUGGCCCUGCUACCUCUGUAACACACUCUCCGCCUAAUCCGGCCUCCUCAGGAGCCAUGACAACAGGCCUCCCUGCUCCAAAUGGGGGGCAGACAGACGCUGGAGGUUGGGCUCUGGUGCCUCUGCUACGGAGCCCAGGGGAGCAGGAGUGGAAGAGGGGCCGGGACGAGAGCAAGGUGGCCUCCAACGGUGGGUUCCUGGAUGGGGGGCCGGGGGCGGAGGAUGACUUUGGGCUUUUCAUGCAGGCAGAGGAGCAGCCGCCCUGGGACGACCGCUUCACUGCAUCACCCCUAGUGCCUUCUGGGAAAAGUGAGAGUGUUGCACUUGAAAACCAUUCCAUCACCAACGAGUCGACCCAUUGGACCUCAUGUUGGCCAGACCGCUCAUUCCAACCACCAGAGGAUGCCUGGACAGCCUUCCCAAAGGAUUCAGAGGGAGAGGGACAAGACACAAGAGGACAGUGGUGGCCCACAAAUGCUGUGGAGAAGACGAGGGGAAGAUUCUCUGCCAAGGGAAAUGUGAACAAUGUGUUUGUGGAGUCCUUCCCGUCACUGUCUACUCCCCUGUAUGACCGUGAUGCUGUUCCCAUGCUCAGCCAGCUCCUCAGAGGCAUCUUGGAUCAUGAAAGCUCUGCAGAGGAUCAUGGCUUACUUGAUGGGUUCCAUGACCUGAAGAAGAUGUUUGGCUUGAAAUAUAAGAGGGCAAAUGCUGUUUCCCGUGGACGGCUUCUACAGUCGCUACAUUUGGGCCAGUAUGACACGGUGAGUGUCAUGUAGUCAGUGUAAUGCAUGGUUGAAUGUGAUAACAGGCCUGCUCUGUUUCCUGUUAUGGGGCAGAAAUGAUACAGCCUAAUCUUAUGUUACAGCCUUAACUUAAAAAGCUAUACUAUCACCAUGACAAAUGCUACAGCAUGUUCGAGCAAACUGAAUGUAUAAAUGGGUCAUUCGUCAUGUGGUCAUUUGACUGUUAUCUGCACUGGCACUCGGAUAACAAGCAAAUGGGAUCACGACUACAGUUCAUGUAAAUUUUUAGAAGAGUCAUCAUUUGUUCACGUCUGCAGGAAAAUAUGACUGGGCAUAGAGCAGCCAACUACAGUCCCUCUCUUGGCCUCCCCUCGUCCAGUCAGCAUGCACAGGCCUGUGGGAAGAGACGGUUAUCUUAUGAUGUCAACAAGAACAUCAUGGAAUAACCAAGAUUUCCACUUUCCCUGACUGUCAACAACACAUUGUCUUUACUAUGCCCUUCUAUGCCAAACCACUAAUGGGUCACGGUCUUCAUCUCCAUGGGGAGAAAUAACAAAAAAAUGUCACAAGAUUCAGAACUCAGAGGAUGGACCAGCUGACUAUAUGGUGACCCUUAAUAAUGCCCUGUUUUGCUUGACAUUUCCCUGGAGUUGGAUCAAUAGAUGCAUACCUGUGACUAAUUGGAUAAAAUGAAGCACAAAUGAUUAUUUUUGUCUCACAAAUAUUCCUAAAAUACAUGCAGAUGUUUACAUUCUUAUUAAUCUCAUUCUUUUAGGGACUCUAUGAAAUGUUAAAGUAAUUUGUUUGUCAGGAGAAGUGGAUGUCUAUACCCCUCCCCCUUCGUUCACUCCCACCCGCUUUCCCCCACACACACACGGACUUGGACACAAACACACACUGUCCUCUCCCAUCAUGUGGUCUGGCUCAACUGUGUGCCAGUGACAACUCUGGAGCAGAAUAUAUUCUGUUGGUUUAGCUAACAUUGGAGCUCACAUGGAUCACAGCUCCUUUUCUUAUUAUUUCAGUACAUAAUGACCAUGUUUACUGAAAUGAUUACCUUUUUAAAUUGGGGUGUUUCUGUCUGUCAGAAUUACGUUUUGUACUGGCUAAGAGAAAGUGUUAUUUUACCAGUACAAGUUUGUUUUAGAUCACAAAAAUGCAAUCAUGUCCUAUUAAGACUCCAUUUGUUUUUGUGGGGGCAACCCUGGGCAACUCAGUAGGUCUACAGAAAAUGUAUUUGAUGUUUGUCAUUUGUACAUAAUUCCAAGGGAAAAUACAGAUUUUUUUUCUGAGUGGUUCAAAUGGAUAAAAAAAAGAGAUUGUCAACUUGUUCAUUGAUGUAAUAAAAUGACACGGUGAUUGCGGUUUUCCAUCCUCAAAGCUUUUGCUAAUGUUGUUGCUGUGUCAUUUUUAGAAGUACCUAAAUGGUCAUCUUAUUUGCGUAUUUGACACAAUACUCACUAUAAACCAAAACAGCAAAAAAUAGUACUUCUACAGGCUACAUGUGUCAGUCAAUUAGAAUGGUGUACGGCGCUAGAAUGAAGUAUCACAGGUCAAAGGGAAACUGCACUGGCAAAUCAACACUUCCAAGUGACAUACAUUGAAUUAGCACACCAUUAC
rnacentral:lncRNA from 1 species